UAGUUCCUUGGGGAUAGGAUUAGGGGUUAGCUCCCCCACCCUACGAAAUAGCUCACAUCGGUAUCUACAGCUCCUGACGUUGAUGCUAUAAUUAAAUACUAUCGAAUUAUUGCGAGAUUGCAGCAUCCUCUCCCAUAACCGCGGUUAUUUUUUUCUCUAACUGAUAACACAUUUACAUUCGUGCUUAUUUAGCUGCAAAUGUCGAAUCAAGAAAUGUGCAAUCAUUUUUGCGAGGAGUCGAGGUAAACCUGCAUGUAUAUUACUAUACGUUUUAACCGUAUAUUUGUAGAACAAGAAACUACUAUUAUUUUCGGCGGGAUAAACCCAGCGAGGUAUAAAACCCCCCAUGUAUUACGUUUUAAUUAUAUACCUAUGUGUAGAACGGAGCGGGGAUUUCCAAUUAUGAAUAACAAUGUCGGCAUCCAAAAAAAUAGGGGCGUUGCCGUCGUCGGUCCUCUUCGACGCAAAUUUUAUGUAAGUAGAGUAAGCGCUUUAAUUGUAAUAAUAAACUUCAAAUCGAUAUUUCAGAUCUAAAUAAAAACGCCCUACAUUUUG